CUCUGAUGCAGAUUCUGCCUCCUGCCCGGUGUCACGGGGCUGUCUGGCACUUUGCAAGAGGAAAAAAAAUGAUGUGCCUGCCACUGAAAGGUGGAACAGGGCCACGGGAUGUAGAUUCCAAUCUGCAGGUAGUGAAUGGGGCUUUUUUGCACAGAGGCUCUUUACACACAGAACUGUGACUCCUGGAGCGAGAUACGAUCUGUCCCACACAAGGACAGAGCUCUGCUAAGUGGCCCAUCCUGCUGGGCUGCAGCCCCUACCUGAGCGCUCUCCCACCUGAAGUCACACUGGUGCCCUUCAGAUGGUUUUCAUUUGAACUCCCAGAUCUUCUUCUACCUAUUUCCCAAACAAGAGGACAAACCUGCUUCUUUAACAACAACCAAGCCACCCUCGCCACACUGCAAAGAGCUUCCUCAGCAUCCCGGUUUGAAACACUCUCUUUUCCUUCCUAAUGUCUGUGUC
ensembl:lncRNA